rnacentral:rRNA from 1 species
GAUGAACGCUGGCGGCGUGCCUAAUACAUGCAAGUCGAGCGAACGGACGAGAAGCUUGCUUCUCUGAUGUUAGCGGCGGACGGGUGAGUAACACGUGGAUAACCUACCUAUAAGACUGGGAUAAUUUCGGGAAACCGGCGCUAAUACCGGAUAAUAUCUUGAACCGCAUGGUUCAAAAGUGAAAGACGGUCUUGCUGUCACUUAUAGAUGGAUCCGCGCUGCAUUAGCUAGUUGGUAAGGUAACGGCUUACCAAGGCAACGAUGCAUAGCCGACCUGAGAGAGUGAUCGGCCACCCUGGAACUGAGACACGGUCCAGACUCCUACGGGAGGCAGCAGUAGGGAAUCUUCCGCAAUAGGCGAAAACCUGACGGAGCAACGCCGCGUGAGUUAUGAAGGUCUUCGGAUCGUAAAACUCUGUUAUUAGGGAAGAACAUAUGUGUAAGUAACUGUGCACAUCUUGACGGUACCUAAUCAGAAAGCCACGGCUAACUACGUG